AUUGAACGCUGGCGGCAGGCCUAACACAUGCAAGUCGAGCGGUUGAAGGGAGCUUGCUCCCUGAUUCAGCGGCGGACGGGUGAGUAAUGCCUAGGAAUCUGCCUAUUAGUGGGGGACAACGUUUCGAAAGGAACGCUAAUACCGCAUACGUCCUACGGGAGAAAGCAGGGGACCUUCGGGCCUUGCGCUAAUAGAUGAGCCUAGGUCGGAUUAGCUAGUUGGUGAGGUAAUGGCUCACCAAGGCGACGAUCCGUAACUGGUCUGAGAGGAUGAUAAGUCACACUGGAACGGAGACACGGUCCAGACUCCUACGGGAGGCAGCAGUGGGGAAUAUUGGACAAUGGGCGAAAGCCUGAUCCAGCCAUGCCGCGUGUGUGAAGAAGGUCUUCGGAUUGUAAAGCACUUUAAGUUGGGAGGAAGGGUUGUAGAUUAAUACUCUGCAAUUUUGACGUUACCGACAGAAUAAGCACCGGCUAACUCUGUGCCAGCAGCCGCGGUAAAAC
rnacentral:rRNA from 1 species